GAUGAAGAACGUAGCGAAAUGCGAUAAGUAAUGUGAAUUGCAGAAUUCAGUGAAUCAUCGAAUCUUUGAACGCACAUUGCGCCCGCCAGUAUUCUGGCGGGCAUGCCUGUUCGAGCGUCAUUUCAACCAUCAAGCCCCCGGGCUUGUGUUGGGGACCUGCGGCUGCCCGCAGGCCCUGAAAACCAGUGGCGGGCUCGCUGUCACACCGAGCGUAGUAGCAUAUCAUCUCGCUCUGGGCGUGCUGCGGGUUCCGGCCGUUAAAGCCUUUUCUUUACCCAAGGUUGACCUCGGAUCAGGUAGGAAGACCCGCUGAACUUAAGCAUAUCAAUAAGCGGAGGA
rnacentral:misc_RNA from 1 species